CAGCCGCCGCGGUAAAACGUAGGUGGCGAGCGUUGUCCGGAAUCAUUGGGCGUAAAGGGAGCGCAGGCGGGCAUGUAAGUCUUUCUUAAAAGUUCGGGGCUCAACCCCGUGAUGGGAAAGAAACUACAUGUCUUGAGUACAGGAGAGGAAAGCGGAAUUCCCAGUGUAGCGGUGAAAUGCGUAGAUAUUGGGAGGAACACCAGUGGCGAAGGCGGCUUUCUGGACUGCAACUGACGCUGAGGCUCGAAAGCCAGGGGAGCGAACGGGAUUAGAUACCCCAGUAGUCCCUGUCUCUUAUACA
rnacentral:rRNA from 1 species